UGGGGUGUGGGGUGUUGUUUGUUUUUUGUUUGUUUUUGAGACAGUGUCACUCUGUUGCCCAGGCUGGAGUGCAGUGGCAUGAUCACUGCUCACUGUACCCUCAACCUCCCAGCCUUAAGCAAUCCUCCCACCUCAGCCUUCCAAGUAGCUGGGACUACAGGUACAUAUCACCACACCUGGCUAAUUUUUUGUUUAUUUUUUGUAAAGACAGUGGUCUGUCUGUGUUGCCAGGGCUGGUCUCAAACUCCUGGGCUCCAAUGAUCCUCCUGCCUCAGCCUCCCAAAGGGCUGGGGUUACAGGUGUGAGCAGUUCAGGGACUAAGAACACAGUCUUUGAAAUCAGACAGCUCCAACACUAUUAGCCCUGUGACUUUAUGCUAACUCAUUCACUUCUAUGGCCUUUAAUGUUCUUAUUUGUGAAAUGGGGAUUCUAAUAGUAUUUAACUCAUAAGGUGGUUGUGAUAAUUAAAUGAAAUAAUGCAUGUAAAGCACUUAACAUGGUGGCUAGAUUAAGG
rnacentral:lncRNA from 1 species